UCCAGCUACUAGGAGGUCACGAAUUGUGGAUAUUUAUAGGCAUGCACUGUGGAUUCGACACUCCCUGGUGUGGAUGAACGUCCACACGAGUGAAUACUUACUACGACUCUCCCCAGUACUAUCCUGAUAAUUAGACCAAUUCGUAUAGUAGGCCUAUACCAAGGCAAUAAUGUGGUUCGGAUUCCACUAUAAACUGUAUGUCCCUUAGUUGCCAUUAGCUGUUUGGGCUAUUAAUUAACAGUUGUGUCUAAGGAAUGUCGGUCUUAGUCACUAACAAGACUACAGGAUCGCUCCACUCAUCCUACACUCAUCUCCAUUCAUACUUGGCUUAAAAUACCUACUUUGUAUGGUCGUCAAGUAAUAAGAAAGAAAGUAGGCCUAUUAAAGAAAUACCUUCAUUGGAAUGAGUGUAGGACGUAAACUUAAGUGCUGUCAAAUAUUCUAGAGCUGACUUGGAUUAUAUCAUUCAUUGCUGAUGACUUCAAUGUUAAUUUUAUAGAUGAUCCUGGAGCAAAGGCUGUAAUUUGACCUGAACCCAAAUUGGUCUUUAUUUUAAAUAUUGUAAGUUAAGAGGACUGACCUUUCUGGACGACAUUGCUAUCGACAUCACUGCAGAUGAGAGAGAGAGACCAGAGUUGUGUACCCUGGAGGCAAUUACCAUACUGCUGUGAUAAUGUUCCUUGGUCUAACCAUAACUUAAGUGAGAGCUGUAGCCUACCAGUAGAAUGGGGGCGUUGUAAUUAAUAUCCUCCGACAUUGGAGGGUACAGGGGAGAGGUGCCAGAGGAAGAGGAGAUGGAGGAUGGGGCAAAGUAAAGACGAAGAUUGAAAAGAGCUAACUUAUGGCCUGAUGACAGGGUAGAAGGUGAUGGAGGCAUGGUGGUUGGGGGUGAGGAGGCUGAAGAAGUGGAGACAAAUCUCUUUAGAUUCAUUAUGUUGAUUAGUUUAAUAUUUAUUUGGAAUAUCAGUAUACUUUUAUUUAAAUUUUUUUCUCAUUUAGAUUAUUAAACUAAGAUCAUUUUAUUGUUUUUAUGAAAAUGUUUUCUUAAAUUUUUAAUAUUUGUUUGUACUUCUGCCUGGUAAAAAAAAUACUGUUUUUUUAGUAUGUUUGUUAAAAUGAUUACUUUCACUAACUGACCUUGUCUUGGGUGAAAAGAGAUAUCUUGAUAUUUAACUAGCAGGGUGCCUGUUCUAUAGGCGGGGAUCGUAUAAGUCAGUUGAAACCUUCUUAUAUUUUGAUAAGUUGUAAAUUAAUCAUUUUCAACUUUAUAUAGUGUAGAUCGCUACUCCUGUAUUGAUGU